CGUUUCGGUUUCACUUCCGGUGAAGGGCCGCCUCUGAGCGGGCGGCUGGCGGACGGCGAGCGCGGGCGGCGGCAGUGACGGCGGCGCCUCUGUCGGGGGGCGUGCGGUAGCGCGGCGGCGGCUGGGCCUCAAGCGCCUGCAGCCCACCUCUCGGGGGCGGGCUCACGGCGCGAGCAGGGCUGUGGAGAAGAUGGAGGAGCUGGUGGUGGAAGUGCGGGGCUCCAAUGGCGCUUUCUACAAGGCAUUUGUAAAGGAUGUUCAUGAAGAUUCAAUAACAGUUGCAUUUGAAAACAAUUGGCAGCCAGAGAGGCAGAUUCCAUUCCAUGAUGUCAGAUUCCCACCUCCUAUAGGUUAUAAUAAAGAUAUAAAUGAAAGUGAUGAAGUUGAGGUUUAUUCCAGAGCAAAUGAAAAAGAACCUUGCUGUUGGUGGUUAGCUAAAGUGAGGAUGAUAAAGGGUGAGUUUUACGUGAUAGAAUAUGCAGCAUGUGAUGCUACAUACAAUGAGAUUGUCACAAUUGAACGUCUAAGAUCAGUUAAUCCCAACAAACCUGCCACAAAAGAUACUUUUCAUAAGAUCAAACUGGACGUGCCAGAAGACUUACGACAAAUGUGUGCCAAAGAAUCGGCACAUAAGGACUUCAAAAAGGCAGUUGGUGCCUUUUCUGUAACUUAUGAUCCAGAAAAUUACCAGCUUGUCAUUUUGUCCAUCAAUGAAGUCACCUCAAAGCGAGCACAUAUGCUGAUUGACAUGCACUUUCGGAGUCUGCGUACUAAGUUGUCUCUGAUACUGAGAAAUGAAGAAGCCAGUAAACAGCUGGAGAGUUCAAGGCAGCUUGCCUCAAGGUUUCAUGAACAGUUUAUCGUACGAGAAGAUUUGAUGGGUCUAGCCAUUGGUACUCAUGGUGCUAAUAUUCAGCAAGCUAGAAAAGUUCCUGGGGUCACUGCUAUUGAUCUAGAUGAAGAUACCUGCACAUUUCAUAUUUAUGGAGAGGAUCAGGAUGCAGUGAAAAAGGCUAGAAGCUUUCUUGAGUUUGCUGAAGAUGUCAUACAAGUUCCAAGGAACUUAGUAGGCAAAGUAAUAGGAAAAAAUGGAAAACUAAUUCAGGAGAUUGUCGACAAGUCAGGAGUUGUAAGGGUGAGGAUUGAGGCUGAAAAUGAAAAAAACGUCCCACAAGAAGAGGAAAUUAUGCCACCAAAUUCCCUGCCUUCCAAUAAUUCAAGGGUUGGACCUAAUCCCUCAGAAGAAAAAAAACAUUUAGAUAUAAAGGAAAACAGCGCCCAUUUUUCUCAACCUAACAGUACAAAAGUCCAGAGGGGUAUGGUACCAUUUGUUUUUGUGGGAACAAAGGACAGCAUCGCUAAUGCCACUGUUCUUUUGGAUUAUCACCUGAACUAUUUAAAGGAAGUAGACCAGUUGCGUUUGGAGAGAUUACAAAUUGAUGAGCAGUUGCGACAGAUUGGAGCUAGUUCUAGACCACCACCAAAUCGUACAGAUAAGGAAAAAGGCUAUGUGACUGAUGAUGGUCAAGGAAUGGGUCGAGGUAGUAGACCUUACAGAAAUAGGGGGCACGGCAGACGCGGUCCUGGAUAUACUUCAGCUCCAACAGAGGAAGAGAGAGAGGUAGUAGAGUUGAUACACUGGAGACGGGGAGAAAUACCUACUCCUAAGGCCAACUUUGAACCUAACCCCUAACCCCUCUCCCAACAGUCAGUUCUUUUUACCAGUGGAUUUCCACCUGACCGUAGAGCUGUUUUCCCCCACUCCAAUUGUCUAAAAGUCAUUAACCCCCUUAGGCAUAAAGAGUUUAUUAUUAUAAUACUUUAUUAAUGAUCAAUUACCCAGUGGAAGUGGGAGGGAAGGGUGUAGACCAAGCAUCAGGCAAGCAUUCCCCCUUCAGCCAGAUCCAAUCCCUGACCCCACAAGAGACACUUUACUGAGACAGUUGCCAUGGUGGCCUUUUUUGCUACCCUCUCAAAAAUUAUCAAAAUGUGUGCAUUCCCCUCUGUUCCUGGGCCAAAUCUUGUUAAAAGGAGCUCUCUUUAUAGAGGUUUUAUUUAUCAAGGCAUUACAUUUAACUGUUGUAGACAACUUUUCCUCCAGAGAGCAUAGAUGUUUAAUAAUGUGGCACACUCAGGUUUGAACUUAGGUGGCUAAUAAAACACCUGUUUUAAAUGAGAACCAAAAAUUUUUAUAAGCAAAAUUACCUUAAAUAUUGCAAAUCCCUUCAUUUUCAAUUUAAAAUAAUUUGUUUUACAAAUUGGAAGGUGAUAAUAUUCUUUGGUGGGCUUAUAAAUUGGGAAGAGUAUUGGAUUACCCCUGAAACAUCUCUGGAAGCUUCUGUUAACCUCUUUUUUUUUUAAGUUGGACAAUGGUAUAUAACUUUUAACUCUCGAUAGGAACUAAUUCUGAAGCAUCAAAUGCUUCUGAAACAGAAUCUGACCACAGAGACGAACUCAGUGAUUGGUCAUUAGCUCCAACAGAGGAAGAGAGGGAGAGCUUCCUGCGCAGAGGAGACGGACGACGGCGUGGAGCAGGAGGAAGAGGACAGGGAGGAAGAGGACGUGGAGGAGGCUUCAAAGGAAACGACGAUCACUCCCGAACAGAUAAUCGUCCACGUAAUCCAAGAGAGGCUAAAGGAAGAACAGCUGAUGGAUCCCUUCAGAUCAGAGUUGACUGCAAUAAUGAAAGGAGUGUCCACACUAAAACAUUACAGAAUACCUCCAGUGAAGGUAAUCGGCUGCGCAUGGGUAAAGAUCGUAACCAGAAGAAGGAAAAGCCAGACAGCGUGGAUGGUCAACAACCACUCGUGAAUGGAGUACCCUAAACUGCAUAAUUCUGAAGUUAUAUUUCCUAUACCAUUUCCAUAAUUCUUAUUCCAUAUUAGAAAACUUUGUUAGGCCAAAGACAAAUAGUAGGCAAGAUGGCACAGGGCAUGAAAUGAACACAAAUUCUGAUAAGAAUUUUAUUUUGUUUUUUUUUUGGUAUUGGCCAUAUGCAACAAUUUUCAGAUUUGCACAAAAAGAUAUCUUGAAACGUUGCUUUUAAGUAUACUUAGCACUUCAGGGCAGGAUUUUAGUUUUAUUUUUUUAAAGUACUGAGCAGUGAUUUUCUUUGUUAAUUUGGACCAUUUUCCUGCAUUGAGUUAUAACUCAUCAGUACAUUUUCAGUUUUUCUGAAUAAGUAGCAUUUAUGGUAAUCAUAUUUGACUUCUGUUUUCAAUCUAAUAUAGAAGUCUCCAUGAAAUGAUAUGUCAUUUCAUGUCCUGUGUCAGUUUAUGUUUUGGUCCACUUUUCCAGUAUUUUAGUGGACCCUGAAAUGUGUGUGAUGUGACAUUUGUCAUUUUCAUUAGCAAAAAAAAGUUGUAUGAUCUGUGCCUUUUUUAUAUCUUGGCAGGUAGGAAUAUUAUAUUUGGAUGCUGAGUUCAGGGAAGAUAAGUCGGAAACACUAAAUGUUAAAGAUGUAGCAAACCCUGUCAAACAUUAGUACUUGAUAGAAGAAUGCAUGCUUUCCAUAUUUUUUUUCCUUACAUAAACAUCAGGUUAGGCAGUAUAAAGAAUAGGACUUGUUUUUGUUUUUGUUUUGUUGCACUGAAGUUUGACCAGUAGUGUUAUUGAGAGGGAUGUGUAAUAAAUAUUUCUGUAUAGACAAAAGAAGAAAUAACCAUCUUUUCAUUUGAGAGAGGAUAAAAUAUUUUCAGCUAGGAACAAAUCUUCCUGGUCGAAAGUUAGUAGGAUAUGCCUGCUCUUUGGCCUGAUGACCAAUUUUAACUUAGACCCUUUUUUAUUUUGUCCUCACCAAGUUUUGUGAAGUUUUUCAUAUUUUAAUUUCAAACUUAUUUCGGUGAGAUAGAAAGGUCAUUUCCAUGUAUGCAUAAUAAUCCUGUGAAGUACAGGUACUUUGUCUAAGAGACAUUGGAAACAGGUUAAGUGUUUUGUAAACUUUAAGAAGAUAUAAGGUCUAAUGUAUAAGCAGAAUAGGAUUGGUUAACUUUUUUUUAUUUUUUUGUUUUUUGAUGGAUUUUGUUUUUGAGUCUUUUUUUUAAAUGAAUGAAAUUUACUGAGGGAAAAUAUGUGAAGGACCUUCACUCUAAGAUGUUAUAUUUUUCUUAUAAAAUAACUCCAAUAGGGGUACCACUGAAUCUGUACAGAGCCGUACAAACCGAAGUUCUGCCUCUGAUGUAUUUUGUGAGUUUGUUUCUUUGAAUUUUCAUUUUAUAGUUACUUUUCCUUGCAUACAAAUAAACAUAUAAAAAUGGCAACAAACUGCACAUGAUUUCACGAAUAUUAAAAAGUCUUUUAAAAAGUAUUGCCAAACAUUAAUGUUGAUUUCUAGUUAUUUAUUCUGGGAAUGUAUAGUAUUUGAAAACAGAAAUUGGUACCUUGCACACAUCAUCUGUAAGUUGUUUGGUUUAAAAUACUGUAGAUAAUUAACCAAGGUAGAAUGACCUUGUAAUGUAACUGCUCUUGGGCAAUAUUCUCUGUACAUAUUAGCGACAACAGAUUGGAUUUUAUGUUAACAUUUGUUUGGUUAUAGUGCAAUAUAUUUUGUAUGCAAGCAGUUUCAAUAAAGUUUGAUCUUCCUCUGCUAAAUUGAUGUUGAUACAAUCCUUACAAAUGAUUGCUUUUAAAAUUUUAAGAUAGGAAAAGAAAUCUAUAGGAAGUGUUCUGUUACAAAAUGUAACUGUUACCAUUGGAAGUUUCAUGUCAUAGGAAGUUAGCCGUUAUCUACCAACUUUCAAGAACUUAAUCUUCUUUAAUAAAAUUUUAAAAAUCAACAAAAUGGUACAAAAACACAAUGUACCAUUACAAUAUGCACUAAGUCUCUCUCUUUUCUUUUUUUUACAAAGGCUGAAGUCAGCAAGGCGCUAACUUGCUUAAAUGUGAAUUACUAACUUCUAAAACUGUAAUUUGAUUCACGUUUUCAAAUGGAUUUGAAGUUGAUUCAUAUUACAAUAUGUGUGUGCUAAAUGUGUAUGUUUUUCAGUUCAAAGUCAUGAUGUUUUUAAAAUCUUAUUAAAGUUUCAAAAAUCUGAAGAUUGUUUAUCUAGAUGUAAAUUUUUAUUAAAAAGUUGCACUUAUGAAAAAGCAAAAAA